GUAUAGAGGGUGAAUUCUGCCCAAUGGUUGUAUAGUGAAACUGAGGACUAACGUCUAAAGCGAAACCCAAUUGAAUGGCCGCGGUAACUCUGACCGUGAUAAUGUAGCACAAUAAAUAGCCAAUUAAUUGUUGGCGGGUAUGAAUGGAAUCACGAGGGUCUUACUGUCUCAAGAGGAAAGCCAAUGAAAUUAUAAUUGUAGUGAAGAUACUACAUAAACAUUGUAAGACGAAAAGACCCUAUCGAGCUUUACUGGAUACCGAUGGCAUUAAUUUAUAAUGAUCGAUACUAAGUAUCCUAAUUUUAAGAUAAUAAUUUUUGUUGGUAGGACAGUUUAGUUGGGGCGACUACCUUUGAAUAAGAAACGAAGGCGAGCUUAUGGUAUUGUUAAAAUCUCAUUAGCCUGACAGUGAGGGGGACACCCCUAGCUGGCACAAGGACUUCCCACGGUACCCACAUAGUACUUAUACAUAGUGGGGUACGUGGGUUCCUAUGUGGGCGAUAAUGACCCGAUAUGAUUAUCCAAAAUAAAUAUCGAAAGCGGAUAAAAGCUACCGUAGGGAUAACAGCGUAAUAUUGUCGGAGAGUUCUUAUCGAGGACAGUGUUUGCGACCUCGAUGUUGAAUUGCGGUGCCCUGGUGCUGUAGAAGGUACCUUAGGUUGGUC
rnacentral:rRNA from 1 species